GACGAACGCUGGCGGCGUGCCUAAUACAUGCAAGUAGAACGCACAGUUUAUACCGUAGCUUGCUACACCAUAGACUGUGAGUUGCGAACGGGUGAGUAACGCGUAGGUAACCUGCCUGGUAGCGGGGGAUAACUAUUGGAAACGAUAGCUAAUACCGCAUAAUAUUAAUUAUUGCAUGAUAAUUAAUUGAAAGGUGCAAUUGCACCACUACCAGAUGGACCUGCGUUGUAUUAGCUAGUAGGUGAGGUAACGGCUCACCUAGGCGAGGAUAUAUAGCCGACCUGCGAGGGCGGUCGGCCACACUGGGACGGAGACACGGCCCAGAGGCCUUCGGGAGGCAGCAGUAGGGAAUCUGCGGCAAUGGACGAAAGUCUGACCGAGCAACGCCGCGUGAGUGAAGAAGGUCGUCGGAUCGUAAAGGUCUGUUGUAAGAGAAGAACGGGUGUGAGAGUGUAAAGUUCACACUGUGACGGUAUCUUACAAGAAAGGGACGGCUAACUACGUG
rnacentral:rRNA from 1 species